AUUAUUGAUUAAAUUCAUAUCGCUCACCUUGUGUCUGUGAUCGUGGCUAUGGACAAAGUCAACAGGAAGAAAUCGAAAUGGUCUCUUCCUACCUUUGAACUGGUUCUGCACGUCCAUCAUGGUUGAAGAUGGUAGCAUUUAAUGAAAAAGCCACGGAAAUUCUUGCGUCUGAAGUCAAUGGAUCGCAUUUGCCACAGUAUACAUGAUAGUCGAUAAACGCAGACCGUUGAUACUGGCAAA